CUGGGUUUGACAUACACCCUGCCGCUCCAGAGAUGGGGCUUCUUUUGGGGGUGUACAGGUGGUGCAUGGCUGUCGUCAGCUCGUGUCGUGAGAUGUUGGGUUAAGUCCCGCAACGAGCGCAACCCUCGUCCUAUGUUGCCAGCACGCCUUCGGGUGGUGGGGACUCAUAGGAGACUGCCGGGGUCAACUCGGAGGAAGGUGGGGAUGACGUCAAGUCAUCAUGCCCCUUAUGUCCAGGGCUUCACGCAUGCUACAAUGGCCGGUACAAAGGGCUGCGAUCCCGUGAGGGGGAGCGAAUCCCAAAAAGCCGGUCUCAGUUCGGAUUGGGGUCUGCAACUCGACCCCAUGAAGUCGGAAUCGCUAGUAAUCGCAGAUCAGCAACGCUGCGGUGAAUACGUUCCC
rnacentral:rRNA from 1 species